rnacentral:rRNA from 1 species
UAGGGAAUCUUCCGCAAUGGGCGAAAGCCUGACGGAGCAACGCCGCGUGAGUGAUGAAGGUCUUCGGAUCGUAAAACUCUGUUAUUAGGGAAGAACAAAUGUGUAAGUAACUAUGCACGUCUUGACGGUACCUAAUCAGAAAGCCACGGCUAACUACGUGCCAGCAGCCGCGGUAAUACGUAGGUGGCAAGCGUUAUCCGGAAUUAUUGGGCGUAAAGCGCGCGUAGGCGGUUUUUUAAGUCUGAUGUGAAAGCCCACGGCUCAAUCGUGGAGGGUCAUUGGAAACUGGAAAACUUGAGUGCAGAAGAGGAAAGUGGAAUUCCAUGUGUAGCGGUGAAAUGCGCAGAGGUAUGGAGGAACACCAGUGGCGAAGGCGACUUUCUGGUCUGUAACUGACGCUGAUGUGCGAAAGCGUGGGGAUCAAACAGG